rnacentral:rRNA from 1 species
GUAGUCCUACGGGGCGCAGCAGUGGGGAAUAUUGCGCAAUGGGCGAAAGCCUGACGCAGCGGCGCCGCGUGAGGGAUGAAGGUCUUCGGAUCGUAAACCUCUGUCAGCAGGGAAGAACGGUCACUGUGCUAAUCAGCAGUGAAUUGACGGUACCUGCAAAGGAAGCACCGGCUAACUCCGUGCCAGCAGCCGCGGUAAUACGGAGGGUGCGAGCGUUAAUCGGAAUUACUGAGCGUAAAGCGCUCGUAGGCGGUAUGUCACGUCAAGGGUGAAAUCCCCGCGCUCAACGAGG